rfam:Verticillium longisporum isolate VL1 genome assembly, contig: scaffold_15
GUCUGCGUGGCUUAGCUGGUCAGAGCGUCGGUCUCAUAUUCAUCAGUAUGACUGGAUUAUCAGAUCUAGAUAUCCGAAGAUCAUGAGUUCGAUCCUCAUCGCGGACA